GUGACAUUAUAUUUGCUUCAGGGAUUCGUUCUUGUUGUAUUUUAUAGUGCACCACUGUUUUAUGUUAAGUUUAUAACCGGAGGCGUGCACUUCUCCUCUAGUAGGUCGUCGUGACCCAUUGGGUACAUUGUCUAAGGCUCAUAUUGGAGACCAUGGUGUCAAUUUGCAUUUUAAUCGAUGUUAUUUUGUGCAUUCAUGGACUUUUGUGAUGUCCCGACAUUUGCCUGAUGGUAUAACACAAUGAUGAUGAAUCGCUAUAUUUUAUAUAGUGAGCGUUCAGACCUAUGACAAAUGCUUGUAUGGUAUUUAAAAUGUGGAAAUCGGAUAUUAUGCCGGUUCUACACAUAUGGUAUUGCUAGUCAUGGUGUUCUCGAACCGUUUCUUAUCAUCAGUCAACGGCGUUUAUGUUUUGGGUAAUUACAGGACCCGUCUUGAAACACGGACCAAGGAGUCUAGCAUGUGCGCAAGUCAUUGGGUAUUUAUAAUAAACCUAAAGGCGUAAUGAAAGUAAAUAUUUAUAUAUAAAAUUUUAUUAUUUUAUAUUAUUAAUAAAGGGAAGAUGGGUAACGAUAUUUAUGUUACCUCGCAUUCCCGGGGCGUCGCGUACUUAUUGCAAGUUGCGGCGCACCAAGAGCGUACACGCUGGGACCCGAAAGAUGGUGAACUAUGCCUGGUCAGGA
rnacentral:rRNA from 1 species